rnacentral:rRNA from 1 species
CCCUUCGAUGUUCUGGGCCGCACGCGCGCUACACUGACGAAUGCAACGAGCUUAUAACCUUGGCCGAAAGGUCUGGGUAAUCUCCAAAUUUCGUCGUGAUGGGGAUAGAUUAUUGCAAUUAUUAAUCUUCAACGAGGAAUGCCUAGUAAGCGCAAGUCAUCAGCUUGCGUUGAUUACGUCCCUGCCCUUUGUACACACCGCCCGUCGCUCCUACCGAUUGAAUGGUCCGGUGAAGCGUUCGGACCGUGGCCUUUGGACGGUUCGCCGUCUGUUGGCUGCGGGAAGUUCGUUAAACCUUAUCAUUUAGAGGAAGGAGAAGUCGUAACA